ACAACUGGCCCUUCCCCGGGUCCCUCCCUCAGCAACUCCCAUUUCCAUUUAGGGAUCUGAGUGUUGGAGAAUGCUGACUCCCCUCUGCGUCUGGGAAGAGCCUAUGAUCCAGGCUAGGCAGGGGAAACCAUGCUUCCCGCUGGCCUCAGUGGCUGUGGCAGCGGGCAGGAGGCAGGGCUGCAAGGAUCCCGGUGCCUGGCCAAGGGGCUUGGGCCAGGUCCUAAGCGGGGCAAAGACAUCUCUCAGGAGGAUCCAGAGCAGAGCUUGGAGAGGAUCCGGGGAAGGAGAUGUUAGAAAUCAUCCGGCCACCAGGAGAGAAAUCAGCCUAAGAAUGAAGCUCAUAGAGACACAAAGGAAGGUGGAGCUGAGAGAACAACUGGGAAGUGGAGCUGGAGCCCUGAUCAAGCCUCACCUGAAGCUCAUAUACCCCAUUUCCCAGCUAUAUGAAUCAAUAAAUCUCUUCUCUUAUCUGCAUUA